GCCCCGUGGGCCAACACUGACGCUCAUGCACGAAAGCGUGGGGAGCAAACAGGAUUAGAUACCCUGGUAGUCCACGCCCUAAACGAUGUCAACUAGUUGUUGGGGAUUCAUUUCCUUAGUAACGUAGCUAACGCGUGAAGUUGACCGCCUGGGGAGUACGGUCGCAAGAUUAAAACUCAAAGGAAUUGACGGGGACCCGCACAAGCGGUGGAUGAUGUGGAUUAAUUCGAUGCAACGCGAAAAACCUUACCUACCCUUGACAUGGUCGGAACCCUGCUGAAAGGUGGGGGUGCUCCAACCCGAACCAGCGCACAGGUGCUGCAUGGCUGUCGUCAGCUCGUGACGUGAGAUGUUGGGUUAAGUCCCGCAACGAGCGCAACCCUUGUCCUUAGUUGCUACGCAAGAGCACUCUAAGGAGACUGCCGGUGACAAACCGGAGGAAGGUGGGGAUGACGUCAAGUCCUCAUGGCCCUUAUGGGUAGGGCUUCACACGUCAUACAAUGGUCGGAACAGAGGGUUGCCAAGCCGCGAGGUGGAGCCAAUCCCAGAAAACCGAUCGUAGUCCGGAUCGCAGUCUGCAACUCGACUGCGUGAAGCUGGAAUCGCUAGUAAUCGCGGAUCAGCAUGCCGCAUAAUACGUUCCCGGGUCUUGUACACACCGCCCGCGCGCCAUAGAGUGGGUUUCACCAGAAGUAGGUAGCCUAACCGCAAGGAGGGCGCUA
rnacentral:rRNA from 1 species